AUUGUUUUUUUCUUAAUUUCACUGAAAUUCUAUCCCUGCACAAGCAAGGGAGUUUAGAUUGGAUUCAUAUAGUCAGUGAAUAUCUCAUGUUACUCUUUUCAAGAGUAAGCAGUGAGUAAGGAUGACACAGAAGGGCCUAGACAUAGGCUGGAGUCUUUUCUUCCCCGUAAGAUGUACAGACAAUUCAACUUUCUCUGUUCCACUCUGCAAACAUAGGAAGAUGUGUGAAAUGAACAAAGUAUGUGUAUAUAAGCGUGAUGGGUAAAGAGUGUUGAUGUUGAACCUGAAAUGAAACUAAGGAAAGCAUAUGAUGUGUGAAACAUAUGGCAAUGCAUAUGUAUGAAGUUUGGAUCAGGAUAUGCAUCACAAAAUAGUAAUAGGUUUUUAUUCUGGGAGAAGAGAGUGAUAAAGCAAAGGGGAAUAAGAACCUCACACUAAAUACAAGAGAAGUUGGAAUCGCCUUCCUCUUUGCUAUUUGGCAUUUCCUCUUGAAAGAAGCGGAGGAAGUAUUUAAAUAUUUUAUAACCUUCAUUAUUGGAACAUCUCUUUAUUACAUUUUUGGAAACGUGUUCUAUUUGAAAUCAGUAUGGAUGUAUAAAUAUUUUUAGGAGAUGAUUAUUCUCUGUAUGUAGGUGGAGAACAUUGAAUUAGUGGGAUCUUGCUUUCGUGAGUAACACAGCAGCUGGCAUAUCCUUCCUUCUCCCUGGCCAAGGGAAAACACCUCUUAUCCUCAACUUUAAGCACCAAAAUAAGAAAUGGUUUUGGCUUCCCUCUUUCUAUCUGCUUCUCCAGACAGCCCAGGAAUUUCCUGAUAGAGUUGAGACAGAGCAAUAAGUACAGAUUUUCCUGAGUGUCCCACAGACACGUUAUUUCCCUGCAACAGAGCCUGUAGAACACAGUGUCUGCUAUUGCCUCUGCUGUUUCAGUUCAUGAUUCAGAAUCUUAAGGAAGAUGGGGAUGCACGUUCCAUUAACUGACUGUAGUUGAGAGCAAAGCCCUCAAAAAAAAAAAAAAAAAGGAUCAGGAUGAAUACCUGGCAUUGGUAAUGGCGGGAAGAUCUGAGGCUACAUUUGUCACACUUAUUCCAGUAUGAUCCUUAACAUGUGUCAUGGAAGCAGCAAGUAAGUAAGGGAUUCUGCUGUGAUACUGUAGAAAGAGCAUUUUAAGAGUAAAAUCUAUUGCAGGUCUCUGAAAAUAACUGCUAGGUGGACUGAAAGUAACUGGGAAUUACCCAUUUUUGCAUGCAAGACAGCACAGUCUUCUUGGAAAACAAAAAAGGAUGUUGUGCAAAGAAUUCAUUCCGAAAUUAA